GAUGAACGCUGGCGGCGUGCCUAACACAUGCAAGUCGAACGGAAAGACGCCCAUCUUGGUGGGGGUGCGUGAGCGGCGAACGGGUGAGUAACACGUGGGUGACCUGCCCUGUAGUUUGGGAUAAGCUCGGGAAACCGGGUCUAAUACCGGAUAGGACCAUGAAUUGGUGUGUUCAGGAGGGAAGGUUAUUUUUUUGGUGCCGGAUGGGCUGGCGGCCUAUCAGUUUGUUGGUGGGGUAAGGGCCUGCCAAGGCGGGGACGGGUAGCCGGCCUGAGAGGGGGGACAGCGACAUUGGGACUGGGAUACGGCCCAGACGGGUAGGGGAGGCAGCGGUUGUGAAGAUAGGGGAAUAGGCGCAAGCCUGAAGCGGCGACGCAGCGUGGGAGAUCACGGGCUUCGGGUAGUAAGCUCCUUGGGUAAGAGACGAGGGCACGUUAUUAGGGUGUGGUGACGGUACCUUUGUCAAAAAGCACCGGCUAACUACGUG
rnacentral:rRNA from 1 species